rnacentral:rRNA from 1 species
AAUGCUAAAAGAAGGAAUAAACAAAAAAAUUCUUUUUUAAUUUUAAAAAUUAAAGUUAAUUUUAUUUGUGCAGAAGCAAUAAUAAAAUUUAAAGACAAGAAGACCCUAAGAAUUUUAAAUUAAUUAUUUAUAUAAAACAAAUAAAAUUAUAAAUAUAAUUAAUUUAAUUGGGGCGAUUAAUAAAUAUAACUAACUUUAUUUAAACAUAAAAGGAUCCACUAAUAAUGAUUAUAUGAAAAAAUACUCUAGGGAUAACAGCG